rnacentral:lncRNA from 1 species
UCUAUCAUCCAUGAUCGUUGUUAUUCUAACUCGUGAGGGUGCUGGGUGUCCGACUAGGUGAUCGGUAGGACACCGAAGAGAUCAUUUGACCCUUAGUUCUUCAUGACGGUCCUGAUGAGUCAUCAGCUUGACAUCGAAGAUGAUGUCAGGGUCGGCAGUAGUCUUAAAAGAUCAGUGGGCUGAGGUCAUCGCAAUGUUAUUGGAUCGGCGGUCAUGUGCCGAUGUCCACGAUGUUGUGGUUGAUCGGAAGAGAGGAUGAGCUUC